UCAUGGAUACGCCUUCAACCGGAUCCCCUUCACACGUGACCACGGCACAUAAACACACAGACAGCAACAAGUGUCGGGCUGUAGGGGGGGGGAGGUUUCCCUGCAUAGUCAUGCCUUGGUAUUGUUGGCACAGGGCCAGCGUUGCCAUCUGUCUCCUCUCCCCCUUUUCCUGUCUCUCCUCCUCCUCCUCCUCCCUCCUCCAAGCCAAUCUGCUCUACAUUUGCUAUCAUUACGUGCCUGCCAUCCUUAUGGCAUAUCAGAGGCAGACGCCAGGCACCCUUUACCCCUCUCUCUCUCUCUCUCUCUCUCUCUCUCUCUUUCUCUCUCCCUCUCCUUCCCCUCACGCCCCUCUCUUCACGCCCCUAUUUCCGCGCCCACUUUGCCACGGAGUUCUCUACAGGGUCCAGGUGGCAUCUUGCCCUGCUCUCUUCUCGGAGCCACGACGGAAAACAAAGAAGUGCAGCGAAGAGAACAAAAAAAAAAAUGCCCGAAAACGAGGAUACACUCCUUUCCACAUCCUGCUUGGAGCCCGCUGUGCUUCCUGUGCCCACAGGCUCGGUGUUGGUUUGUUGUUGUUGUUGUUGUCGUUGCUGCUGAAUUCCAUGGUGCUUCUUCCUGUGGAGCUGGGAAGUAAACCUUUUCAAAUCGUGGAACUUCUCUGGCUUUGGUGCCAUUAACUGGACCCUGACGAAUUCAUUCUCGACGCGACAAUGGUUUCCUAUGGAGACGAAGGGAUGGCGAUUGGACGAGCGAGGGUUAAAAGCGAGCGCUGCAGGAGGAGAGAGAGAGUCACUGGAGGACUUGCUAAUUAGGCAGCGGCAACACGAGCCUCAUCUGCAUGCGGGGUAUGCAAAUUGACCGGCUGGCUCUUUCUUUUUGUCCCGGAUCAGAAGGCGAGAGCUGCAGAGAAGAAUUAAGAGCCAUUAUUCUACCCAAGGAGAGGCUGAUGUAUGCAGAAGAGGGGGAUGAGGAUGAGAGGAAAGAACACUUUUACCACAGAGAUGUACAAUGGACUCCACUGGAAAGGAGAGUCAAAUACAAUCACACAAACGCACUCUUAUUCUCUCGCACAGCCUGGAAGAUCCUUCUACAUUUGAGGUGGAAAUUGCGAAAGAGAAAACGGCAAUCACGCACCUUUAUUUGCCGUUAUGCCUAUCUCCACAUAUCGAUAGGCUGCUUUGUGGAUGAUAAUUACCUUUUGGAAUAUCGAAUCCCGAAAACGAGCCACGGAAACGAAGGAACAAGAAGAAAGGACAGAAAAAAGAGCGGAGGUAUGCAAAGGCGCUAAUGAUAUUCACAGCGCCGCGUGUGUCAUCUGCAUGAUGACAACGGCCAAUUAUAAUGAACCAUUGGCUCUCUGACAUAGAUAAGUAGGAGAGAAAAGGAUAUGGGUGAAAAGGAGCGCGAAAAAAAAAAAAAAACUUCUGCGAUCCUUCUUAAUUUGCCGCUGAUAUUUUCAGAUUUCGUGUCGUGUGGAUUUACAGUGACGAUACAUCUUGAAAAAAAAAA